GGCGAGCGUUGCCCGAAUUUACUGGGCGUAAAGCGCACGUAGGCGGCUUCGUAAGUCUGGUGUGAAAUCUCACGGCUCAACCGAGGAGCUGCACCAGAUACUGCGGAGCUCGAGGACGGGAGAGGGGAUCGGAAUUCCCGGUGUAGCGGUGAAAUGCAUUGAUAUCGGGAGGAACACCAGUGGCGAAGGCGGAUCUCUGGCCCGUUGCUGACGCUGAGGUGCGAAAGCUGGGGGAGCGAAAGGGAUUAGAUACCCCUGUAGUCCCAGCCCUAAACGAUGGGCGCUAGGUGUUGGGGGAUUAACCCUCGGCGCCGCAGCUAACGCAUUAAGCGCCCCGCCUGGGGAGUACGGCCGCAAGGUUGAAACUCAAAGGAAUUGACGGGGGCCCGCACAAGCGGUAGAACAUGUGGAUUAAUUCGAUACAAACCGAAGAACCUUACCUGGGCUUGACAUCUACGAGCAACGUCUGGAGACAGGCGCAUCGGGUAACUGACUCGUGGACACCGGUUGCAUGGC
rnacentral:rRNA from 1 species